rnacentral:rRNA from 1 species
CGUAGGUGGCAAGCGUUGUCCGGACUUAUUGGGUUUAAGGGUGCGUAGGCGGUUAUAUAAGUCAGUGCUGAAAUAUCCCGGCUUAACCGGGAGGGUGGCAUUGAUACUGUAUGACUUGAGUAAAGUUGAGGUUGGCGGAAUUGACGGUGUAGCGGUGAAAUGCUUAGAUAUCGUCAAGAACACCGAUUGCGAAGGCAGCUAACUAAGCUUUAACUGACGCUGAGGCACGAAAGUGUGGGGAUCAAACAGGAUUAGAUACCCUGGUAGUCCACACUGUAAACGUUGAUUACUCGCUGUUGGCGAUACACAGCCAGCGGCUAAGCGCAAGCGAUAAGUAAUCCACCUGGGGAGUACGCCGGCAACGGUG